CAGUGAUUAUAUAAGAACUUAUAAAUAAUGAAUUCUGUUUUAUUUUAGCCUUGUUUGCAGUCCCUAAAAAUUAUAAGCUGGUAGCUGCACCAUUGUUUGAAUUGUAUGACAAUGCACCAGGAUAUGGACCCAUCAUUUCUAGUCUCCCUCAGCUGUUGAGCAGGUUCAAUUUUAUAUACAACUGAAUUCCUGCGCAGUGGAGAAGUUAAAGGAGCCGCUUGUCUCUGUGAGCACAGCUAUACACAGUGUAGAAUAAAUGUGGUAGAAAAGUUUUUUUGGUUUUAUCUCUUUUGCGAUCCCUAAAUUGCCACCUACUUUCUAUUGUUUCAAUGGUAAAAUUAAUAUGAAGAACUAGAUAGUGGUGUAAACAAAUGUGAUAAUGUUUAUUUACUUUUGGUUCUACUCAUACUUUUUUGUAGAACAUUAAAAAAAAUGGACUUCCUUUUAAAUUUUAACUUUUCAUUAAACUUCUACAAUUCUUAUAGGUGAGGAUCAUCUCCCCACCCCCCACCUUAGGCUGGUGAAUGUUAACAACACAGUGACAGGUUUAGGUCAGUCAAGUUUAUUGGACCCUUGCUUUGAUACCAUUCUUGGGCACAUACUCCAAGAGUGUAUUAGAUUUUUGUGAUGAAGAGCUUCCAUUACUUUUGAAAACUUUGUCUGAUUGAGUCCAAGGUACAACUCCUAAGUGAGCUGUGUUACAGAGAUCUCCCAGUACAAUUCACUUACUGACCAGUAAGUACAUUUUAUAACCAUUCAGGCCUUGGUUUGCAAGCAACGGACCUUAAACAUAUCAGAAACUAUUAAAAUUGGCUAAAUCAGCAAUCAUAGGAAUUGGUGUAAGAAGAGACUCAUUUAGAGCUCAGAAUUUUCUUCACAUAAUGGGGGUAUUAAUUGUUUGAGCUGUUGUGAAAUUAUGUGUCUUAUUCUUAAAGCCAUGGUAAAAAUAGUGAUCUGUGAAGGAAAUUUCUAAAAGUGGAUGUAUUAGGUUUUGAACUCUGAGAUUGCAUAAAUAUUCAAUGAACUUGAAGUUAUAUACAUAGAGAAGAAAAUUUGGUGUUAGCAAAUGACAGCCUUCAAAAAUAUUUUGUAAUGAUGUGAAUCCACCGAAAACUGGGGGCAAGGCAGAGGACAGAUUUUGUCAGCAUAAGGAAAAAAUACCAAAUUUUAAAAACUUCUUAAAAUACCGAUAAAUUUGGAUCAAAUUUGAGGGAAUAAAAAAUAUUAGAGCAAAGGAGUUUGCUGGUUGUGUCAUUAUUUAAUGAUCAAAGUAUAGCUUGUAUGCUUUAUUACAGACUUGUUGACUAUAGGCUUAAUAUAAACAAAAGUCUUGCCAGAUGCAGCUACUUAAGAAAAAAAAGAUUUUUAAUAGAAAUGAACUUUUGAUUAGUUCUUAGAUUUUUAUGAUGCCAAUCACAGGGCUAUUUUCCUGAAUAUUGCUUGAUGUCAAAGGUAUAUUAUACUUCAGGAAAUCAGGCUAAGUGUAGCAAAGCAAUUAUAUUCAUAAACACUCUAGCUUUUUAGUUGGGGUCAUGCCGAACCCUCACGUGGUUGUUAAGUAGUGACUAACUAACUGUGCAUGUUCUUAGUGGUAGGUGAGUACCAGUCUCCAUGACCAAAAAUGUUCCGAUUUCCUUUGAAAAAGCCACUAGUUCUGUGAAUUGUCCUUUUCCUUCCUGCCCCUAACAGUUCUGCCCCUCUAGCCUACAUUAGCAUGUAAUGUGUUUCGCUGGUAACUCAUUGAUUAGCUGCAUCCUUCAGCUGUUCCUUUAGAUUGGGGAACAAGACCUUUAGAUUGGGGGAAGUGGAGAUGAAGAUAGGUUGUUUCAGCUCACCUUCCAUAAUUGCUUCUGAGUGAAAAGCUACAGCAGCCACAUUUCAGAUGCUCACUUUUGCAAUUUGGGGAGGGUGGAGAGAGUUAGAUUGUGUGUUUUAUAAAGUGCUCUUAAUAAGGAGUGUUUGAUUUGAAGUUAUCUGAUUCAAGGCCACUAAUGUUCUUUGUAACUUAAGCUUUGACCAAGAAAUUCUUCACUUCUUCCUACUUCUUCACUUCUUCCCAAUAUACUAUAUGUGAGCCAGUCAUCCAUACACUAAGGUCUAGUUGACAAAAACCUUUGAUUCAGGAUGGCUGGGUUACUAACCUUGGAAUGUAAGAGAUCUGAUUUUGAAUGUAAAAUUCAUAACAUAAAUGGAAGUAUUAAAAACUUUUUGCUCUGGUGAGUUACAGGUGAAUCCCAAUAAUUUGUUUUUGGUUUUCUGAUGGAAAUAAUGGAACUAGGGGAAAUUAAAUCUGGUAGGUGUCUACAGUAUGAGAAGAUGGUAUAGGGUACUGUUUUAACACUAAGCUCUUUUGAUAUGUGAGGUCUACAAUUCCAGAAACUGCAUUCCAAAUCUACAUACUAAAUGCUGAAUCAUUUUUAAAUGGGCUCUUGAUUAAUAAACCCAUAUUUUUUGGUGCCUCCUAUGUUGUACAUUUGUCUAAAGUGAAAGCUCUCUUUUGCAUUGUAAAACUACAGUAUAUAUAUCAUCUUAUUUUCCCUGAGUAAUCCAAGUAUAGUGCAUAUUCUUUGUAAAACUACUAAAUGACACUGGAAAAUCUUUAGUAGAUUAGCGGGAAAAAACUAAAAAGUUUUACACAAUUGUCUGUGGUUACGUUUAAGGUGGACUUUCCCUUUGGAGAAGAGUGAUUUGUUUUUUUGCUGUGUGAUGAAGACCAUUGUGAUUUUUUUUUAAGUAGAUAAUAGUUAAAAUGGCAUAAUAAUUCUGCACUUGAAUUUGUACUGUUAACAGCCCAUUUGGAAGAUUUUUAAACUUUUUAUUGUCUUGUAACUAGCAUUCAGUUAUUAUUUUGGAUAUUUAGGGGUUUCAUUAAGUUAGUAGUGUAUUUGGACAAAGUGUAACCAAAUUAGCCAGUCUGUUUCUUCCAUGUUUAAUUAGAAGUGAGAGGUAGACGUACUUCAAAUUCAGCAGGCCAGCAAGCAAUUGGCUUUAAAUUCCCUUUCUUAAAUGUUGUGACUCUUAUGCUCUUGGCUUUUUAACGACUUUAUUUUUAAAGUACUUGCCCAGUCACUUGAGAUGAAAUGCUUGGGGUAGCUUUUCCAUCCUCAAGUAAUGUUUUUACUAGUUCAUAGUGUUUGGAACAGUAUGUGCCAAUCACUAAGACUGAUUCAGAGUUUGCAAUUUUGUAUGUUUCAUUGCCAAAGAAGGCUUAGUGGUUGUUGACUGUAGUAUAAGUCAGCUUUCUGUAGAAUAAGAUUGGAUUUUCCCAUACUUACUCCACUUACACAUCACUGAUUAUUUGGGGUAAACUGGACUCAUUUCAAGCAGUUUGCCUUUGUUGUUCAAAUAAGUGAUGAGAAACCUAAUACUGUAAUUUGACUUGAGCCAUAAAAUACAUUUUAAUAUUAGUUGGUAUUAUAUUUAUUAAGCUUGUUUUUGUGGAAAAACUAAAACCUAGAUGAGUCUAGAUUAAGCCAAUUUAGGUGUAUUUUGUAAUUUAGUGAUGGAUCAUAUCGUAAAAUAGAGAUAAGUUGGGAAGAUAUAUUGAUUAUGCUGUUCUGUUGAGGGAAAGGUCAUGUAUUUGGAAAUUUAAACUUUUGGUUAUUGUGUUGACAUAGUAUACAAGCCUCAUUUAUAGCUUGGCUUUGAGAACUUUUCUGGUAUUACGUUUAUGGAAAAUGUAUAAAGGAAACAAGUUUUGGUUAUAUUUUUAUAUUUGUAAAGUAAAAGUUUGGUUAAAAAUGAUCACUGUUCUUUUUUUAUUUUAUUGUCAUUUCAAUAAAAAAUAUUUGAAAGAGAA